UGGGACACCUGCCUUGGACCCUGGACAAAGUCAUUAAUCAGUGAGGAUGAGGACAAAGAAGACACCUCCCAGAGCCCCAACCUCAGGAAGGAAGGACAAAAACCAUCUGGGAUUCCACAGCAGCCUCCAGGACACAGAUGCCCCCACCGCCCCUUCCUUAGGCUGGCCUGCUCCUCGGACCCCCUGGGAAAGAGUGCCCGCCCAAGCGCAGCUUACAAUGACGAGAGUACCCGCUGAAGAGCAGCUGACAGUAACAGUGCCCACUUGAGAGACUUGAGGACUAGGAGCCGUGAGACCAUCGGCCGUGGUCCCAGAGGAGGCAUGAAGAAGCUCUGGAAAGGACGCCAGCCGCAGGGCACAAACUGAGCCGGAGGCUUCUCUGGCCAGCCUGGCGCUGCCCUGGCCUGAUUACCCAUGAUCAUGAGUGCUCCAUACAAGGAGCAUGGGGACGGGAUAAGUAUUACCAGUGAUCGCCCUUAGGCUGUCUUUGCCCCAGCCACUGCAGGAAGCCCCUCCCCCAGUCUCCCCACACUGACCCAGAGGGCACCAGCUUCCAUCCCCAAGGGGACUUUCGGGCCAUCCAGCUCCACCUCCUGGUAAAACCUGAAACUGCGCCCCAGCUCUUAGACACCCACAAGCCCUUGAUGGGAAACCCCCAAAGCGGCCGGCUCAGAGCUGGGGUGCGAGCCACCAGAUCCAGACCAUCCUCCCCUGAACCCCCCUUCUGUGGGAAGUCCUGUAAGGUGGAGGCUGACAUUGUCCCCAGAAGCCCAAUAUUCUCGGCCCCUCGCCCCUGUCCCUGCACCAGGGAAGGGGAAUGUCCCUGGCUGACCACCUUGCUGGGGCAGACUUGGAUGACGCCGUCCCCACUACAGCUGCUGCCAGUUCCCCCAGGCCCUACUGGCCCAGCGCCUCCUGCUCGCUAGGGCUCCCCCUCAGUGCCCACAUUGGGCUGGACUCUGUGGACCACAAAGCAGGGGGUGGGGCGCUCGCCACCCUGAGCCCGGACCAUCGGCGGAGGCUUUCUCCGUUCUGAUGGCCGGGCCCAAGGCGGGUCCCCCUCCUGCUUCUGUCCGGCGCAGAACGUGUGCAUUCUAAAGCCAUGAGGACAAGCGGCUCCGGGCCUUCACAAAGCCUUGGUGCUCCUCAGGGAGCCGGUCUGCAGAGCUCUGGGGCCAUGGGAGACCCUCGGGGCGGUGCCUCUUGGCACUGAGCCCUCACCCGGAGGGCCCACCCCCGGCUCAGCCGUAAGCAGGCUGCUGUGGGGGAGUCGCCGCCCCGGAUGGCGAGUUACCCGGCGUGGGGCCCAGACUCGCUCAGGGAGAGCGUCUUCCUUUCUCGAGAUCGCGCCCGUGGAGCCACGUGGCGCAGCCCAGCAGGAGCAUCUGCCGACAGCCGGACAGCGGCGAGCACCGACUCUGAACCCGAUGAAGCUUCCGCUCCCCCCAGUUCCGUUAUUCUCAGACUAAGUUACCAAGUGAACAAAUAAAUGCUCCUGGUACAUUUUGAACUUUGCCAAC